rnacentral:rRNA from 1 species
GUGAGGAAUAUUGGACAAUGGGCGCAAGCCUGAUCCAGCCAUGCCGCGUGCAGGAAGACGCAUCUAUGGUGUGUAAACUGCUUUUGUACGGGAAGAAACACUCCCUCGUGAGGGAGCUUGACGGUACCGUAAGAAUAAGGAUCGGCUAACUCCGUGCCAGCAGCCGCGGUAAUACGGAGGAUCCAAGCGUUAUCCGGAAUCAUUGGGUUUAAAGGGUCCGUAGGCGGUUUAAUAAGUCAGUGGUGAAAGCCCAUCGCUCAACGAUGGAACGGCCAUUGAUACUGUUAGACUUGAAUUACAAGGAAGUAACUAGAAUAUGUAGUGUAGCGGUGAAAUGCUUAGAUAUUACAUGGAAUACCAAUUGCGAAGGCAGGUUACUACUUGUGGAUUGACGCUGAUGGACGAAAGCGUGGGGAGCGAACAGGAUUAGAUAUCCGUAGUCC